UACGGGGGGGGCAAGCGUUGUUCGGAAUUACUGGGCGUAAAGCGUGCGCAGGCGGUUCGUUGUGUCGGUGGUGAAAUCCCCGGGCUUAACCUGGGAAUGGCCAUGGAAACUGGCGAACUGGAGUGCGGCAGAGGGGGUGGAAUUCCGCGUGUAGCAGUGAAAUGCGUAGAGAUGCGGAGGAACACCGAUGGCGAAGGCGGCCACCUGGACGGUAACUGACGCUGAGACGCGAAAGCGUGGGGAGCAAACAGG
rnacentral:rRNA from 1 species